UCUCCAUUCACUGGGCAUGGAAUCAUCAUUUCACAAUGUAGUUUUUAAAAAAACUAUAUACUAAAAUCAUAAGAGCCAAGCAAACUCUGCUGAUUUAAGCCUUUCUCAUGAGGACAAAAGUAUCCAUUUCGGUCAUUCUGAUGGAAAAUUCACUGCCAAAGCACCAACAAUUGAACAAUGGUUUAUAAAGCCAGCAGGUUACAGGAAGUCCCUGACCUUUUGCGGAUGGACCAAGGGGAAGAGCCACAAAAUUAUAUUGGGCUUAUAUUUAGUUGAUCAAAAACAGUUUAAAUAUGAACUAGCACAAACCUCAAAUACAGAUGGAAUUGCUUUAUAAUUGAUUCAGAAACAAGAGAACUGGAAAGGAACUCAGGCAAAAUACUCUUCAUGAUGUAAAAUAAUUAAAGGCACAUUCCUGAAAUGGAAACAUGGAUUAAUACCUUUAA